rnacentral:rRNA from 1 species
UCCUCCCUCUUUCCUCGUGCUUAACACAUGCAAGUCGAACGGAAAGGCCCUGCUUUUGUGGGGUGCUCGAGUGGCGAACGGGUGAGUAACACGUGAGUAACCUGCCCUUGACUUUGGGAUAACUUCAGGAAACUGGGGCUAAUACCGGAUAGGAGCUCCUGCUGCAUGGUGGGGGUUGGAAAGUUUCGGCGGUUGGGGAUGGACUCGCGGCUUAUCAGCUUGUUGGUGGGGUAGUGGCUUACCAAGGCUUUGCAGGGUAGCCGGCCUGAGAGGGUGACCGGCCACAUUAGGACUGAGAUACGGCCCAGACUACUACGGGAGGCAGCAGUGGGGAAUAUUGCACAGUGGGCGGAAGCCUGAUGAAGCAACGCCGCGUGCGGGAUGACGGCCUUCGGGUUGUAAGCCGCUUUCGCCUGUGACGAAGCGUGAGUGACGGUAAUGGGUAAAGAAGCACCGGCUAACUACGUG